GAUGAACGCUGGCGGCGUGCCUAAUACAUGCAAGUCGAGCGAACAGACGAGGAGCUUGCUCCUCUGACGUUAGCGGCGGACGGGUGAGUAACACGUGGAUAACCUACCUAUAAGACUGGGAUAACUUCGGGAAACCGGAGCUAAUACCGGAUAAUAUAUUGAACCGCAUGGUUCAAUAGUGAAAGACGGUUUUGCUGUCACUUAUAGAUGGAUCCGCGCCGCAUUAGCUAGUUGGUAAGGUAACGGCUUACCAAGGCAACGAUGCGUAGCCGACCUGAGAGGGUGAUCGGCCACACUGGAGCUGAGACACGGUCCAGACUCCUACGGGAGGCAGCAGUAGGGAAUCUUCCGCAAUGGGCGAAAGCCUGACGGAGCAACGCUGCGUGAGUGAUGAAGGUCUUCGGAUCGUAAAACUCUGUUAUUAGGGAAGAACAAAUGUGUAAGUAACUAUGCACGUCUUGACGGUACCUAAUCAGAAAGCCACGGCUAACUACGUG
rnacentral:rRNA from 1 species